rnacentral:sRNA from 1 species
CCUCACCGACCUGGUCGGGACAGAUGAAGUGGACGUGCGUGUCGACGCCCCCGGCGGUCAGGAUCCGCCCAUUGCCCGCGAUGACCUCGGUGUCGGGACCGAUGACGAAAUCCGCGGGCACCGGACCGACGCCGUUGUGGAUGCCGGCCCCCUCGUGGAGAGGGUUCAUGGUCUCGUCGUUGUACGCCUUGCCGAGCGCGGCGAUGCGGCCGUUGCGGAGGGCGACAUCGGCCUUGACGACACCCCAGUGAUCGAGGAUGACGGCGCCGGUGAUGACAGUGUCGGGCGGCAGCUCGACGGCCUCGCCAGG